UACAGAGGGUGCGAGCGUUAAUCGGAUUUACUGGGCGUAAAGCGUGUGUAGGUGGCUUCUUAAGUCGGUUGUGAAAUCCCUGGGCUCAACCUGGGAAUUGCAGUCGAUACUGGGAAGCUCGAGUUCGGUAGAGGUCGGCGGAAUUCCCGGUGUAGCGGUGAAAUGCGCAGAUAUCAGGAGGAACACCGGUGGCGAAGGCGGGUCUCUGGGCAACAACUGACGCUGAGGAGCGAAAGCGUGGGGAGCGAACAGG
rnacentral:rRNA from 1 species